rfam:Rhodotorula graminis WP1 unplaced genomic scaffold RHOBAscaffold_10, whole genome shotgun sequence.
GGGGAUCUAGCUCAUCGGUAGAGCGCUCGCUUAGCACCUCGUGUGCGAGAGGCGCAGGGUUCGACUCCCUGGUUCUCCA